rnacentral:rRNA from 1 species
GAUGAACGCUGGCGGCGUGCCUAAUACAUGCAAGUCGAGCGAACAGACGCGGAGCUUGCUCCUCUGAUGUUAGCGGCGGACGGGUGAGUAACACGUGGAUAACCUACCUAUAAGACUGGGAUAACUUCGGGAAACCGGAGCUAAUACCGGAUAACAUGUUGAACCGCAUGGUUCAACAGUGAAAGACGGUCUUGCUGUCACUUAUAGAUGGAUCCGCGCCGCAUUAGCUAGUUGGUAAGGUAACGGCUUACCAAGGCAACGAUGCGUAGCCGACCUGAGAGGGUGAUCGGCCACACUGGAACUGAGACACGGUCCAGACUCCUACGGGAGGCAGCAGUAGGGAAUCUUCCGCAAUGGGCGAAAGCCUGACGGAGCAACGCCGCGUGAGUGAAGAAGGUCUUCGGAUCGUAAAACUCUGUUAUUAGGGAAGAACAAAUGUGUAAGUAACUAUGCACGUCUUGACGGUACCUAAUCAGAAAGCCACGGCUAACUACGUG